UGGGGAAUAUUGCACAAUGGAGGGAACCCUGAUGCAGCGAUGCCGCGUGAGUGAUGAAGGAAUUCGUUUUGUAAAACUCUGUUCUAUGGGAAGAACAGGACUGCACUAUAUGAGAAAGCUCCGGCUAAUUACGUGCCAGCAGCCGCGGUAAUACGUAUGGAGCGAGCGUUGUUCGGAAUUAUUGGGCGUAAAGGGUGCGCAGGCGGCUUUACAAGUUGGAUGUGAAAUAUUGUGGCUCAACCACAAACGUGCAUCCAAAACUGCAAAGCUUGAGUUAAGGAGAGGUAAGUGGAAUUCCUGGUGUAGCGGUGGAAUGCGUAGAUAUCAGGAGGAAUACCGGUGGCGAAGGCGACUUACUGGACUUAAACUGACGCUCAGGCACGAAAGCGUGGGGAGCGAACAGG
rnacentral:rRNA from 1 species